UAAAGAUUUUAAGGGCGUACGGUGGAUGCCUUGGCGAUAUCAGCCGAAGAAGGACGCGGUAAGCUGCGAUAAGCUACGGAGAGGUGCAAGCAACCUGUGACCCGUAGAUUUCCGAAUGGGGGAACCCGGCAGUGGUUAUGCACUGUCACCCAUAGCAUAGACUAUGAGGAGGGCACCCGGGGAACUGAAACAUCUAAUUACCCGGAGGAACAGUAAUCAAACGAGAUUUUCUUAGUAGCGGCGAGCGAACGGGAAAGAGGCCAAACCGGAGCGGGCAACCGCACCGGGGUUGAGGACAGUCAUCAAGUGUAAAUGAGGUAGAAGAAUCGAGCUGGAAAGCUCAGCCGCAGAAGGUGAAAGCCCUGUAAUCGAAACCUUGCAUACAUGGGACUGUAUCCAGAGUACCACGAGACACGUGAAACCUUGUGGGAAGCAGGGGGGACCACCCUCCAAGCCAAAAUACUGAUAUCGACCGAUAGCGCAUAGUACCGUGAGGGAAAGGUGAAAAGAACCCCUGGCGGGGAGUGAAAGAGAACCUGAAACCGUAUGUCUACAAACAGUCGAAGUCUGUAUAUAUAUCAGGACGACGGCGUGCCUAUUGAAGAAUGAACCGACGAGUUACUGUUGCUAGCGAGGUUAAGUGGAAAACAUGGAGCCGCAGCGAAAGCGAGUCUGAACAGGGCGUUCAGUUAGUAAUAGUAGACCCGAAACCGUAGUGAUCUAUCCAUGGCCAGGUUGAAGCACAGGUAAAAUUGUGUGGAGGACCGAACUCGUGAGCGUUGAAAAGCUUUGGGAUGAGUUGUGGAUAGGGGUGAAAUGCCAAUCGAACACGGAGAUAGCUGGUUCUCCCCGAAAUAGCUUUAGGGCUAGCCUCGAGGUAGAGAGUAUAGGCGGUAGAGCACUGAUCGGGCUAGGGGCCAUACCGGUUACCGAACCUAGUCAAACUACGAAUGGCUAUACUUAUACUCGGGAGUCAGACAGUGAAUGAUAAGGUCCAUUGUCAAGAGGGAAACAGCCCAGAACACCGACUAAGGUCCCCAAUGUUACACUAAGUGGCGAAGGAUGUGGAAUUUCCAAAACAACCAGGAUGUUGGCUUAGAAGCAGCCACCAUUUAAAGAGUGCGUAAUAGCUCACUGGUCGAGAGACUCUGCGCCGAAAAUGUCCGGGGCUAAAGUGUAAAACCGAAGUCGUGUCAUAUGCAGCAAUGUAUAUGGGUAGGGGAGCGUUCUCAUCGGGCUGAAGCAGUACCGUAAGGAGUUGUGGACUGAUGAGAAGUGAGAAUGUCGGUAUGAGUAGCGAAAAGAAUGGUGAGAAUCCAUUCCACCGAAAGCCUAAGGGUUCCUGAGCAACGAUCGUCGUCUCAGGGUAAGUCGGGACCUAAGCCGAGGCGGAAAAGCGUAGGCGAUGGACAACAGGUUGAAAUUCCUGUACCGGUGUGAAUCGUUUGAUCGAUGGAGUGACACAGUAAGGUAGGUCAGCACGCGAUUGGAAGAGCGUGUUUAAGCAGGUAGGUUGAGCUAUAGGCAAAUCCGUAGCUCUAAAAGCUGAGAUGUGAUGACGAGUGACUAGCAAUAGUCGCGAAGUGAUUGAUCCUACACUGUCGAGAAAAGCUUCUAGGUAGAGACACAUCGCCCGUACCAAAACCGACACAGGUAGGCGGGGAGAGAAUCCUAAGGUGCGCGGGAAAACCCUCGUUAAGGAACUCGGCAAAAUGCCUCCGUAACUUCGGGAAAAGGAGGACUCAUGUAGUGUGAAGAGCAGAAGCGCUUGGAGCAUGAAUGAGUGGCACAAGAGAGGCGCAAGCGACUGUUUACCACAAACACAGGUGCCUGCUAAAGCGAAAGCUGAUGUAUAGGUGCUGACACCUGCCCGGUGCUGGAAGGUUAAGAGGAGGGGUUAGACUUUGGUCGAAGCUCUGAAUUGAAGCCCCAGUAAACGGCGGCCGUAACUAUAACGGUCCUAAGGUAGCGAAAUUCCUUGUCGGGU
rnacentral:rRNA from 1 species